rnacentral:tRNA from 1 species
GCCCCCAUAGCCCAACUGGCAGAGGCAGGAGACUUAAAAUCUUCCAAGUGCGGGUUCGAACCCCGCUGGGGGUGCCA